CACGCCGGCAGCACAAUGAUGAUGUCACUGACUCUACUGCUGGCCACCCUGGGGCUCCUUGUUCAGGGUUCAUCAGGACAAAUCAUCGUGACUCAGUCUCCUGGAGCUCAGUCUGUGGUUGCAGGGCAGUCUGUCUCCAUCACAUGUAGAACCAGUACAAGUGUUUACAGUAAUUACUAUAAGAAAAACCUGCUUUCCUGGUACCUCCAGAAACCUGGCAAAGCUCCUAAACUCCUGAUUUAUCAAGCUACAUCUCGUCAGUCUGGAGUUUCAGAUCGUUUCAGUGGAAGUGGAUCUGGUACUGUCUACACUCUGAGCAUCAGAGGAGUCCAGGCUGAAGAUUCAGGAGUUUAUUACUGUCAGAGCGUCGUAUGGUGGAACAAUCAAGACGUGUACACGUUCAGUGGAGGAACCAGGCUGGAUGUUGACUUGGGACAAGUUGCACCCACCCUGACGGUGCUGCCCCCAUCCAGAGAGGAGCUGCAGCAGGGGAAGGCCACGCUCAUGUGCCUGGCUAACAAGGGCUUCCCCUCAGACUGGAGUCUGUCCUGGAAGGUGGACGGCAGCAGCAGCAGCAGCUGGGAGGAGGGCAGGAGCCCAGGGGUGCUGCAGGAGGACGGCCUCUACAGCUGGAGCAGCACCCUGAGGCUCCCUGCAGACCAGUGGGAGAAGGUGGGCUCUGUGACCUGUGAGGCCACCCAGGGCUCCCACACUCCUCUCUCACAGACACUGAGGAGAGACCAGUGUUCCCAGUCCUGAGCUGACUCGCUGGUUUUCCUCUGCAAGUGUCUCUCUUUCUGUCACUCGUCUUUGUUUUGUUCAUCAUUUCACUGUUUGACACAAUAAAGAUUCAUUCAAAGAAACUCUCGUUCCACUUCUGCUCUUUUUAACUUGCACAGAUUGAGAUCCUUUCACAAUAAACACAGUUGUUCUUCACUCAGGGGUUUCAAACUCAUGGUCCGGGGGCCACUUGCUGCCCAUAUAUUGACGCGAAGAAAUAAAAUGCAGUUUGUCCCUUGAAGGGACUUUUUCUGUUCGGGAGGAAGUUUUCAGUGUCUUAGCUAUGUUAUGGCCCUGUCCAUAAUCUGUUUUGGUGGCUGUUGUUGUCUGUGCCUUUAAGUUUUGCAGGUCCCGGAGUGGAUGAGCUGACGGCUGCUGAUUGGUCCCCUGGCCAUGUGAUCCUCUUCAAAUCCCUCACCAGCAGUUGUCCUGGGGCAGCUACUGACAGCAGCAGCAGACCUGACCCUGGCCUCCAAAACCUGAGACUUGUGUGCCUGUGAUUUUUGGGCCUUUCUGAGUUUUGUAUAUAGUGUGUAUAUUAGCUUUCAUUGUAAAUAGCACAUUGUAAAUAGCACU